rnacentral:rRNA from 1 species
GGGACACGUGAAACCCUGUGGGAAGCAGGAGGGACCACCCUCCAAGGCUAAAUACUACCUAGUGACCGAUAGCGUAUAGUACCGUGAGGGAAAGGUGAAAAGAACCCCGGGAGGGGAGUGAAAUAGAACCUGAAACCCUGCACUUACAAGCUGUGGAAGCACAUUUCUUGUGUGACCGCGUACUUUUUGUAGAACGGGCCAACGAGUUACGUUAAGUAGCAAGGUUAAGCACUUAAGGUGUGGAGCCGUAGCGAAAGCGAGUUUUAACUGAGCGUUCAGUUACUUGACGUAGACCCGAAACCGGGCGACCUACCCAUGAGCAGGAUGAAGCGAAAGUAAAAUUUCGUGGAGGUCCGAACCCACGAGCGUUGAAAAGCUCGGGGAUGACUUGUGGGUAGCGGUGAAAUUCCAAUCGAGCCCGGAGAUAGCUGGUUCUCCCCGAAAUAGCUUUAGGGCUAGCCUCAAGGUGAGAGAUACGGAGGUAGAGCACUGAAUGUCCUAGGGGGUAUUGCACCUACCGAAGACUAUCAAACUCCGAAUGCCGUCAUCUUAUACUUGGGAGUCAGACUGUGGGUGAUAAGAUUCAUAGUCGAAAGGGCAACAGCCCAGAUCGUCAGCUAAGGUCCCUAAAUGUAAGUUAAGUGGUAAAGGAUGUGGGAUUGCACAGACAACCAGGAUGUUGGCUUAGAAGCAGCCACUCAUUCAAAGAGUGCGUAAUAGCUCACUGGUCGAGUGAUCCUGCGCCGAAGAUUUCCGGGGCUAAAACUUACUACCGAAGCUACGGCAUCAGUAAUGAUGGGUAGGGGAGCUUCCCAUACGGGUUGAAGCAUGACCGUAAGGACAUGUGGACAGUAUGGGAGUGAGAAUGUUGGC